GAAAUAACUCAAUCUGUAACUGCAUCUAAAAUAGGAAGAGGUAGCAGUGUUGCCAUGCAAGGUUUCCUCUGCGUCUCUUCGUUCCUUCUAAUAUGUCAACAUGAUUCAUUUGUAUCAAAAUGUCACAAUUAUUCACAAUAUUUCAAUUUUUCAUCAACUGUUUCAAAAUAAAUCUUAUUUUUAACUGUUUUAACAAUUGUCUUCUGAUUUUUUAAAACAUUAUUCACAUUGGCCUGUAUGUUAAUGCCAGCUGAAGAACUGAACCACCUGCGUUAGAAGGUAAGUGAAUUACAUGAUUUUUACGAGCAGAUACUAUAUGUUGUUGAAGGUUGAUGUAAUGGUUAUCAAUAUUGUUCAGUGAGUAUCUUUGAUUAUUGAAGUCCUUAUUGUUUAACUUUAUUUGUUCUUCUGCUUAAACAACACAGUUGUAUGGUUUUCCUAUCAUGGAAUAAUCACUACAUCGUGUUUGUCUGUGCUUGAUCACUUCUCUACUGAAGUGUGUGUGUAUGAGUGGUUUUGAUUACAGUAUACCUGCAGUUUGUCCCCUUUUGGGGCAUAGAUGGAUAACAUCCCUUUAAUUUAGCUUUACAAUGCUUUAUUUGUCCUUACAUUAUAUUUGACACAAUUAUAGUGUUGCAUGUGACUUUUAUGUACAGGCCUACUCUAUGCUACUAGACUAAAGUCCAUCGUGUCAUUUGAGAGAGCAUAAACCACCUCUUAACUUUUCAGGAAGUGUUAACGUGCACGUCUGUCUGCUUCUGCCCAUGUUGUGCUGUUAGCUAUUGGAAACGGAGAAUUAUCAAAAUAAUAUAAAUGUAAGUUCAACAUAAUUAUUUUACAAGGCACAGUUGAUUUAAGAUGCAUGUGUGAUCGCUAUCAAAUGUAAUUCCUGUGUUACUGGUUCCUUCGCUUCCUUGUUACGACGUACAUAAUGUCUUUAUGAACGAUGAAGUCCUAUCGCUGUCUUUAUUCAUUCUGUAACUCAUUCUAAGCUCGUCUAUAACGUGGAUGGUGAUAAUGACGAUGACAGAGGCAUAGUAAUAUUCUAUAAAUUGUGUAUGAUUGUGAAUGGUAUGGGACACUUUAAGUGUAUAAACCAUGGUGACCUAAUUUAACCUGCACCAUAAUUUAACCUGCGUUAAUGUCUUUCAAUGCAAGACAGCUAAAGAACAGCGCGUGAGAGGGAAUCUCUGAGAGACGACAUUAAAACAAAGUUUACUCACCUGUGCAAUGGCGAGUGAACUCUCCCCAAAUGUUUAUGGGGGUCCUCCUCCCCAGUCAGAUCUUAGACUCCUGCUGCUUGGGAGAGUCGGAGCUGGGAAAAGUACAGUAGGCAAAACCAUCCUGGGCAGCGAUAACUUCUGGAGUGAAGGAGGCAUGUGUGUGAAGAAGCAGGGUGGAAGGACCGUCACCGUGGUGGACACCCCGGGCUGGGACACUGUGAAGUACACGUCCACAUACAUCAAACAAGAAAUUAAGAAGUGUGACCCCAUGCCCUUCUUCUGGUGGUGCCCAUGGGCGACCCGCUCUCCUCCGCAGAAAGAAAGGCGAUUCGGUAUCACAUGGCGCUAUUGUCAGUUAGGGCAUGGAAGUUUACCAUGGUCUUGUUUGUCAGUGAGGCUGAGGAGAAAUGCACAUCCAUUGAACAAAAUCAGAUGAUCGGCAGAGCAAAAAGUAUUCUAGCGAAAUGUGGACACAGACACCAUCUCCUUGAGUGUGGCAAUUCUCCUCCCCAGAUUUCUGAGCUCCUGAUAAAGCUAGACGCCAUGGUAGCAGAAAACUGUGAAGAAUUCUUAAUCCCCCAAGUAUAUGAUGAACUGAUGGAGACUACAAUGCCAAGUGAAGUGACCGAGCUGAGAAGGAUGUAUGAAGACCGAGAGGACAGACUGAAACGGAAAUACAAAACAGAGUUGAAGGAAAAGGAAGAAGAGCUGAAGAAGUACAGAGAAGAAGAGAAGCCUAAAGAAAGGUUGAUGAAGAGGACAAGUAGCAGUCAACUACUCCCCCCCCCCACGCCCCCCCACCCCCCCCAGUAUAAGCACAGAGAAGAGGACGGGUCGGUAAUGGCUGACCAUCAGAAGGUGGACCUACAGGCCGUCAAGCAAGGAUACAGGGAAGAGGCCUUGUCUGUGGUGGGCCACUACGUCAAACCACUAAUAGUGAUUAUGACUGCUGUAGUGGGGGCACUCAUGGGAGCAGUUGCAGGUGCAGAACAUGGAACACUUGGCGCAUGUACUGGAAUUCCUAUAGGCAUUAUUUUGGCAGUUCUUGUGAGUUAUGCUGUCCGUGGAGCCGACACAGCAGCAAGGGAUAUUUCCAUCGCAGUCAAAGCCGAGGGAAAUGAAAGUCAGAGGAGAGAAGAGGGAGCAGGCUUCUUCUUAGAUUCUACAAAAUCUGAAAGAUUUGAUAAGGAUCAGUGACACUCUUUUGAAUGUCAACACUAUUCUAUUGCUACAGUGUGUAGUGUAUGGACUGUGCUGUAUGGACUGUGCUGUAUGGACUGUGCUGUAUGGACUCUCAUGGUUCACCUGACUUGACUGGCUGACCCCAGUGAAGAGACAGGACAGACUGCCCAGCAAACCGGGAACAUACCCAGAACAUAAGAAAGGGUUUUUAUACAAAAUUAGGACGUUCUCCUAACAUUCACAAAAACGCACAACAUCUGUAACAACCACCAUUCCCCAAACAACAUUCUCGUUAUGUUUCCUGGUAAUGUAAUAACACAAUGUACCAGCAAUGUUUUUUGAACAUACUGUUGCAACAAAAUGUAUACGCAAUGUUCUGGGAACGUUCUUGCAACAUCAGGCAAAUGUUUAUACAAACAUUGUAUAAUCAUCAGCACGACGGGACAGUUUUUGUGUUAUGAUAACAUUUACCGCAACCUAACAAAUGUUCUGGGAGUUUUCAGAGAAACAAUUUUGGUUUGUUAGACGCUCUUUCUCUCUCGCUCUCUCUCUCUCGCUCUCUCUCUCGCCCUCUCUCUCUCUCGCCCUCUCUCUCUCGCCCUCUCUCUCUCUCUCUCGCUCUCUCUCUCGCCCUCUCUCUCUCGCCCUCUCGCUCUCUCUCUCGCCCUGUUAUGAUAACAUUUGCCGCACCUAACAAAUGUUCUGGGAGUUUUCAGAGAAACAAUUUUGGUUUGUUAGACGCUCUUUCUCUCUCGCCCUCUCUCUCUCGCUCUCUCUCUCGCCCUCUCUCGCCUCUCUCGCUCUCUCUCUCUCGCCCUCUCUCUCUCGCCCUCUCUCUCUCGCCCUCUCUCUCUCGCUCUCUCUCUCGCCCUCUCUCGCCCUCUCC
ensembl:lncRNA